GCCAGCAUGGCUUAUUGGUUUGAAUGUUGGACUAGGACUCUGGAGGGCAGGGUUCAAAUCCCUGCUUGGCC